CGCGCAAAAAAACAAGCUCAUCAACCGAAGGGGGUGGGGAUCCAAAUCUGUCACAACAGCCUAAUGGCUCGCAUGUUGCUGGUGCUGAGAUUGGGGACCCACCAAUAACAAAGAAGCAAGGGCGUCCAAGGUCAAAGAGAUACAAGACAGGGUUGGGGUUGCUUCCCCCAAAAAA